rnacentral:rRNA from 1 species
UACGAAGGGGGCUAGCGUUGCUCGGAAUUACUGGGCGUAAAGCGCACGUAGGCGGUCUUUUAAGUCGGGGGUGAAAUCCUGGAGCUCAACUCCAGAACUGCCUUUGAUACUGAAGAUCUUGAGUCCGGGAGAGGUGAGUGGAACUGCGAGUGUAGAGGUGAAAUUCGUAGAUAUUCGCAAGAACACCAGUGGCGAAGGCGGCUCACUGGCCCGGUACUGACGCUGAGGCACGAAAGCGUGGGGAGCAAACAGG